GACACUCGUUCUUCUGUAAAUAUGCUGGCAAACUUCUUUUAUUUUCUAUUUUGUUUAGCAUUUGAAUGAACAUUGGUAGCUUAUAUAUAUCUCAGGGAUUCAAAUACCCUCCUGGGAAUAUCUAGCCAUAUGUAAGUUUGUAAAGUGUUGGAACAACAGCAACGUCCCUUUAUCUCUUCCAGUUUUCCAAAGAUUAAAAUGUAACUGACAAAUUGUCACAGCCAAGCUGAGCCUAAAGAGACAUGAUGAGAUCCAGAAGCACGAAAGGACAUUAAAUAAAAACUGAAGAAGUCUGAAUUAAGUAUGGACUUCAUACUUUUAAUAAGGUAUCUUUUAAUAAGAUAAAUAAUAAGGUAUCAAUAUUGGUUUAUUUUAUAACAAAGGUACUGCACUAUUUUAAGAUAAUAAUAAUAAGGGAUGAUGGAUUUAAGCUAUGCUAGAACUCUGUCCUGUCUUUGCAAUUUUUCUAUAAAUCAAAAAUUAUUCUAAAAUGAAGAAUACUUAAACAUGAUUGACAUAACAGCUGUUUAAAUUUCUAUCUAGAUGCUUUCCUCUCUGCCUCUUAAUUUGAAUUCUUCUUGACUUUUUCCAGACAUUUUUCUUUGACUUCGAAGGAGCUGCAUCAGAUGGCUUGGGGUAGCUUGGGUUGAAAACAGCUGAUUUUCUUUUUCUUGUCUGUGUGGCAUCUCUGUCAAAGAUGAGAAAUUUGGGAAACAGGAACAAAAAGGAAGAGCCCUGUGCAGGACUUCAGGGAAAGAUUUCCCAGAAACAAAUGAACAGACAUACAGACAUCAUAGAAUGAAAAAGAGUAGAAUGGAUGCUUUCUGAACACCAAGCACAGUAUCCUUAAAUUUAAAACAGCUUCAGGUUCUGUUGCUCCUGGUCAUCUGUCAUUCUUUCCCAAAUCCUGAGAGUCAUGCUGGUCCUACCAUCAAUGUUGAACCAAGCUUUGACAGUGAAAUAUGUCCCAUAACCUGUGCCCUUGGACCUCUACAGAGUCUGCUUGGACUGUGACCUACAUCACAUUAAAAACCAGUUUGUGCCCAAGAUUACAUCAU
rnacentral:lncRNA from 1 species